CUGCGAGCACUGCACCUGCAGCCGGACCUAGGAUCCCAGGUGCCCAGGUGGCCUCGCGGAAACGACUUGUUUGGCUGUGAAGUUGUAAAUUUGGAAUACGUCUCUACUGUGAGGGCCAGGUCAGGGCCUUCCCAGAUACAGAUCUCACGAGCGUGCCUCUCCACAUGACAUAUGAAUGAAAAACAAUCCUCUUUGGUUUAUUUUUUUUUUUACUAAAAAUAUUGUAUUAUAUUUUCAGGGUAAAAUAUUCUGUUGCCAUAAAAUCAAUCAAUUCUUUUUUCA